GUGAAACCAAGUAAGUACGCUUCCGCACACGAUUCCUCGGGAGAAAGCGCAGGAGAGCUGGCGUCAGACGAAGCUGGGCACAGCUCUGACAGCAGCUAUGGCCAACACCCAGCAGAGGCCCUCAUCAUUGCUAAGGCCAGGAGACGAGACUCACAGGGUGCAACCUCGUCGCCACUGCCAACAGCAACUGCGGUGCGUAGGCGACUGAGAGCCUUAGCCAGGUUUUUAUGAAAGCGCCAGACCUGAAACUUAUGUUUUAUGUUGACCUGUAUUGUGCAGGUUGUUGGCGAACCAUCUCAAGAGAACGGGCACUUGGAAUACCCUCCGGGUCUUAGGAUCACUCCCUUGCAGGAAGAGCAGGGGACAGCAGCUGGGGACUUCACUAUGGGCAAGGUGUCAGCGAAGAAACGGCAUAGAAAGCGCAGACACACUUCAAAACUGUUGAAGAUCGCUGUCAAGAAUGCAGAGCUGGCUACUGAUGCAGGUGUGAGAUUCAGUGUCACAGAAACAGACAGACACGGGCCUCCUUGAGAGGUACAGCUUUGAGUGAAAGACUUUCUCUGGGAAUGCACUGAACACACUUCAACGACUACAAUCCAAUGACCACAAUGGAGAGCAUGAACAUUCUGCACAAGAGGUGCAGAUGUCAUUCUUGUGUGCCGGUGUGUGACUUCAUAGGGUACAUGGUACAUCUCCUUGCUGUGCUUUGGUCCGGCACCAAUGUGCAUGCGCUCUUGGCAGUGGUAAAAUGAGCAAUCAACCCUGUCAAAACUAAUCAAUGCUUACCGGCAGGAGGUCUCAACCAGGCCUGGGCUCGGGGUGUGUGGCGCCUGCAGGCGGCAAAGCAGUGGCCACGGAGACCACAGCUGUCAGGACACAGGACGAUGACAUUGACGGAGUCUCCCUGAUGAGCUCUGACAGCGAGGAGGAGCGGGGCAUCACUUUGGGAAACGCUCCUGAUGCGCAAGG
rnacentral:lncRNA from 1 species